rnacentral:rRNA from 1 species
ACAAGACUCCUACGGGAGGCAGCAGUGGGGAAUCUUCCGCAAUGGGCGAAAGCCUGACGGAGCAACGCCGCGUGAUCGAAUGAAGGCCUUCGGGUUGUAAAGAUCUGUUGACAGGGACGAAUAAGCAAUGCGAAUAGUUUUGUGUAUGACGGUACCUGUUUAGAAAGCUCCGGCUAACUACGUGCCAGCAGCCGCGGUAAUACGUAGGGAGCAAGCGUUGUCCGGAAUUACUGGGCGUAAAGGGCGCGUAGGUGGGCGCUUAAGUCAGGUGUGAAAACUCCGGGCUCAACCAUGGGACUGCUUUUGAAACUGUCAAACUAGAGUACGGGAGAGGUAAGAGGAAUUCCUAGUGUAGCGGUGAAAUGCGUAGAUAUUAGGAGGAACACCAGUGGCGAAGGCGUCUUACUGGACCGAAACUGACGUUGAGGCUCGAAAGCGUGGGGAGCAAACAGGAUUAGAUACCCCCGUAC